AACGAACGCUGGCGGCGUGCCUAACACAUGCAAGUCGAACGUGAUUAGAGAGCUUGCUCUCUAUGAAAGUGGCGCACGGGUGAGUAACGCGUAGAUAAUCUACCUGAUGAUUCGGGAUAACACUUCGAAAGGGGUGCUAAUACCGAAUAAGCCCACGAAGUCCUUGGACUCUGCGGGAAAAAGGGGGGACCUUCGGGCCUUCCGUCAUCAGAUGAGUCUGCGUACCAUUAGCUAGUUGGUAGGGUAAAGGCCUACCAAGGCGACGAUGGUUAGCUGGUCUGAGAGGAUGAUCAGCCACACUGGAACUGAGACACGGUCCAGACUCCUACGGGAGGCAGCAGUGGGGAAUUUUGCGCAAUGGGGGAAACCCUGACGCAGCAACGCCGCGUGAGUGAUGAAGGCCCUUGGGUCGUAAAGCUCUGACAGAGGGAAAGAAAUGCAGGGGAGCUAAUAUCUCCCUUGCUUGACGGUACCCUCAAAGGAAGCACCGGCUAACUCCGUGCCAGCCGCCGCAGUAA
rnacentral:rRNA from 1 species